GUCACCAUGCCAUCCACAGGGGAAGAUUCUCUUCACACAAGGUUGAUAAUGCACCUGGACAGGAAAUUCGUGACUUCAGUUCCAGCCUAGACAGCUUCAAGAGUAAGUCAAGUGAGCUGAGGAGAAGACUUGAAGAAGUUUGCAACUCAAGGAGGGACCUUCUUAAGUAGUGAGU